rnacentral:rRNA from 1 species
UCGUGGCAUAUAGCUCAGUAACACGUGGCCAAACUACCCUACAGACCGCGAUAACCUCGGGAAACUGAGGCCAAUAGCGGAUAUAACUCUCAUGCUGGAGUGCCGAGAGUUAGAAACGUUCCGGCGCUGUAGGAUGUGGCUGCGGCCGAUUAGGUAGAUGGUGGGGUAACGGCCCACCAUGCCGAUAAUCGGUACAGGUUGUGAGAGCAAGAGCCUGGAGACGGUAUCUGAGACAAGAUACCGGGCCCUACGGGGCGCAGCAGGCGCGAAACCUUUACACUGCACGACAGUGCGAUAGGGGGACUCCGAGUGUGAGGGCAUAUAGCCCUCGCUUUUCUGUACCGUAAGGUGGUACAGGAACAAGGACUGGGCAAGACCGGUGCCAGCCGCCGCGGUAAUACCGGCAGUCCAAGUGAUGGCCGAUAUUAUUGGGCCUAAAGCGUCCGUAGCUUGCUGUGUAAGUCCAUUGGGAAAUCGACCAGCUCAACUGGUCGGCGUCCGGCGGAAACUACACAGCUUGGGGCCGAGAGACUCAACGGGUACGUCCGGGGUAGGAGUGAAAUCCUGUAAUCCUGGACGGACCACCGAUGGGGAAACCACGUUGAGAGACCGGACCCGACAGUGAGGGACGAAAGCCAGGGUCUCGAACCGGAUUAGAUACCCGGGUAGUCCUGGCUGUAACAAUGCUCGCUA